ACGGGAGGCAGCAGUGGGGAAUAUUGCACAAUGGGCGAAAGCCUGAUGCAGCGACGCCGCGUGAGCGAAGAAGUAUUUCGGUAUGUAAAGCUCUAUCAGCAGGGAAGAAAAUGACGGUACCUGACUAAGAAGCCCCGGCUAACUACGUGCCAGCAGCCGCGGUAAUACGUAGGGGGCAAGCGUUAUCCGGAUUUACUGGGUGUAAAGGGAGCGUAGACGGACAAGCAAGUCAGAUGUGAAAUGCGGGGGCUCAACUCCUGAACUGCAUUUGAAACUGUUUGUCUAGAGUGCCGGAGAGGUAAGCGGAAUUCCUAGUGUAGCGGUGAAAUGCGUAGAUAUUAGGAGGAACACCAGUGGCGAAGGCGGCUUACUGGACGGUAACUGACGUUGAGGCUCGAAAGCGUGGGGAGCAAACAGGAUUAGAUACCCUGGUA
rnacentral:rRNA from 1 species